rnacentral:lncRNA from 1 species
AAAUUUCUUGCUAUUGCACAAUAUUGUGCAAUUAGAUAUUUCUUGCUAUUGCGCAAUACUGUGCAAUUGAAAAUAUUUGCUAUUGCACAUUACUGUGCAAUUGAAGAUUUCUUGCUAUUGCGCAAUACUGUGCAAUUGAAGAUUUCUUGCUAUUGCUAAAUACUGUGCAAUUGAAAAUUUCUUGCUAUUGCACAUUAUAAUUUUGGAUCCUGAUUUGAACUGACUUGAAAACUAGACCUAUAAUCAAAAAUCUAAGUACAUGUUUAGAUUCAGCAUAUCAAAAAAGCCCAAGAAUUCAAUUUUUGUUAAAAUCUUAGUUUAAUUUUGGACCCUUUGGAUCUUAAUGUAGACCAAUUUGAAAACAGGACCAAAAAUUAAGAAUCUACAUACACAGUUAGAUUUGGCAUAUUAAAGAACCCCAAUUAUUCAAUUUUUGAUGAAAUCAAACAAAGUUUAAUUUUGCACCCUUUGGGCCCCUUAUUCCUAAACUGUUGGGACCAAAACUUCCAAAAUCAAUCCCAACCUUCCUUUUAUGGUCAUAAACCUUGUGUUUAAAUUUCAUAGAUUUCUAUUUACUUAAACUAAAGUUAAUAGUGCGAAAACAUUUCAAUAAAUCGUUGUCAAAGCCCCUAUAAUAAAAAUUACAGUAUUUUUAUAAGUGUCACUAUGCAAUGGCUUGGGCUCCUGACGAUGGACAUGACCAUGGUCAAUUAGUUAAUUCUAAUUGGUCUAAAUAGAUGUUCGAAACACCUUGUGAUCUAUGGAGUUGGGGUGCUGGGAUAGGCUUUGACAACGAUUUAUUGAAAUAUCUGUUCAUUUGGCAAUGAAUACUCAAAUUUGUGGUUCAUCAAUUAUUUAUAUUUGAAAACUAAAUGCUUAAGUUGAUUUAAUCUUCAGACCUAUAUAUAAACCUCAAUUCUGAUGCAAUACCAUGCAACUUUACAAAGUCAAUGUACAAACUUAAAUGAAGUACUUUGAAUAGAUUUAUUAAGCUACAAACUAAAAUUCUUUACAUUUUUAGCAUUUAUCCUACUGUACUAAUUAUAUAAUAGAGGCACAAUGUAAAAAAAUAUUGAUCACAAAAAUUAUUGUAAAAAAUCAUAGUGCAAAAAUACUUUCACAAUAAAUACAUAAGUCUAUAUAUACACAUUAUUAUUGGCACCAGUUAUUGCAUUUACAUAAAAUAUAAAUUUUAUUUUUAAAACAAUUUAAUAAGGUGCACAAGAAGUUUAUUUACAGAUAUCAGUAUUGAUAAAUAUUUCGUACCCAUGGAGUUUCAAUUAUAAUGGAUUUCAAAAUCAAACCAUGUGUUUUUCAACCUCUUAUGAAAUGUCAAUUUUCAAUUUAUUUGUUACAAAAUAUGAAACUACAAACUUAAAACUCAAAAAUCAAUGAUAAUUCCACUUUUUGUGUUUUAUUCAAGGUAUAAAAACACAAAUUCAAAACAAUGUAACAAUGAUAUAUAUUAUUAAAAAAAUCAAUGAAAUAAGUCAUGAAAAAUGAUCAUCAUUAAAACUAUUUAAUCAGUUGAUAAAAAAACUUAGUAUGAAAAUGCUUAAAAAAUUGUUAAGGGUUCUACUAAACAAUGCUUCUCACUCAUAAUUGCUGCUGUAAGUGAAAAAGUGUAAUAUUGAGAACAAAAAUUAAGUCCGUUUAUCAGGGAUACAUUUGUAUACCGUAAAAAUACCCCCAAAACUUGUUCCCAUCAGAUAACAUUUCUAUUCCUUGAACUUUUAGAAGCUUAUUUUCAAGUUUCAAAAUAUUCCAUGAAAGUUGACAAUGUCUAAAAAUUAAAUCAUUGACUGUAAGCUUCUCUAACUGCAAAACAAACUUAAUCCCUUACUUUGUAAAAUGCCAAAC